AUUGAACGCUGGCGGCAUGCUUUACACAUGCAAGUCGAACGGCAGCACGGGGGCAACCCUGGUGGCGAGUGGCGAACGGGUGAGUAAUGCAUCGGAACGUACCCGGAAGUGGGGGAUAACGUAGCGAAAGUUACGCUAAUACCGCAUAUUCUGUGAGCAGGAAAGUGGGGGACCGCAAGGCCUCACGCUUUCGGCGCGGCCGAUGUCGGAUUAGCUAGUUGGCGGGGUAAAGGCCCACCAAGGCGACGAUCCGUAGCGGGUCUGAGAGGAUGAUCCGCCACACUGGGACUGAGACACGGCCCAGACUCCUACGGGAGGCAGCAGUGGGGAAUUUUGGACAAUGGGCGCAAGCCUGAUCCAGCCAUGCCGCGUGAGUGAAGAAGGCCUUCGGGUUGUAAAGCUCUUUCGGCGGGGAAGAAAUUGCUUAGGUUAAUACCUUGAGUAGAUGACGGUACCCGCAUAAGAAGCACCGGCUAACUACGUGCCAGCAGCCGCGGUAAUAC
rnacentral:rRNA from 1 species